AGAAGGAGGAUUAGAUCUCUACAUGCUUGAACAUUCCCAACUUAAGAAAGAAAAAAUAAAAUGCCUUAGAAUCCUGGACUCAGGCCACCAAAGUAGCAUUAUGCCCUCGAGAAAAAUCAAUUUGCAGCUUGGUGUUAUGAAGAGACUUACUGAAUAUCAAUUGGGUGGGUUAUGUUCAACUGAAAAGCAUCUUCCAAGCUAGCUAUCCAUUCCAUUUGGUUCAUACUCAAUUGCCAAUUUCCCCCUUCUCUUCUAUGCUACCUACUCUCUACCCAUGAACAUAAUAGGUACUCCCUUCCCCACCCUACCCCACCUUCAAAUAAAAGAAAGGAAAAGGAAGAAACAAAGUAAGUUAAAAUUAAAUUAAUUUGACUUAGCUACUGCUAGAGUUACUAUUUCAUACACUUCUUUCAUUUUCUGCCAAAUUUCUUGAAAUGUGCUUUAUGUUUACUGCCUCAUCUGUUUCUUCUUAAUCACUCAUUGCCUAACUCCUCCCCCUACCAUUCUAGUGUAAUUUUGUACUACAUGGUUACUAAAUCAAAUGGGACAAUCAAUUGGUGAUGUUUUGUUUUGUUUUUUCUCACCUCAUUCAGGUUGAGCUUUAAUUCCUUUCACUGGGAUUCAUCACUUCCUUAUAAAAUUUCAUUUUCUUGGUUGUUCAGUAGAAGAGUGACAAGAGGACACCACUGCUAUUCUCCAGAUUUUAGAGAAGAACAAUUGAACUUUUUUUUUUAACACAAUGAAGAUAACACCAACAUAUCUUGAACUUGGCAGAUGGAACUAGGCUACUGAUACUCUUCUAGUAAGGACAAAAGUCUGGAGUUAGAAGGCUGUUGGCAGUGGUUCAGAGGACCAGCUCUGUUAAGGCCAGUAAGUCUCCAAUUCUCAAGCUUUUCACCUCAUUGCCACAAGUUUGCUGUUGCAGCUCACAACGUCAUACCCACUUUCAAGAUGGGAAGAAAGGAGACAGAGUGAUUCCAGCCCUGUAUCUCCUUUGUAUAAAGAAAGCAAAAACGUUUUAGAAACCCCAUAACAGAAUUUCACUGAUUUCUAAUUAGCCAAAACUGUAUCACACAACCUUCCUUUGAUAUAAGAGAAGCCAGGAAAGCAAGUAGUUUAGUGGAACACAUAUAAAAAUUCCCAGAGGAGUUGGAAAUUGAUGUUGAAACAGUCAGUCUCAGGGUCUGCCAUAGUGAUGCUACACAAAGAUAAGGUGAAGAAAUUAUUUGGAAACACAGAAGCUUUAGAGUUAACACUGCAAGAUCACAGGAAAGAAUAAUAUGGAUAAAAAUACUCACUAACUCAUACUAACAGCUUUCCAAUUUGGGUUAAAUAAAAGACAAGUUUAGGAUUCAGAUCAUUCCUGUAAUAUAGUUAACUAGAAUGAAAGUUCUAAAGUACCAAAGCAUCAAAUAUUUAAAGUCUAAGGUACCAAAGACCAAAGAGAUAGCUUGAAAGGAUUUUAUUCUUUACAUUUUUGAGUGAGUUCAGUGUUGGCAGAACCUCAUCACUGCCUACAUUAUUGAUGGGGAUAUCUGAAAAGAAGCAGAUGUUUUGCCAAGAAAGGGAAUAUGAAUCAUUGUACCUAAUAAGUUGAGAAUCUUAGGAAACAAUCUACACAGCUCAUGAGUGAAACUAGCAAUUAAUCUUGACAUGUUUUAUAAAAGGUUGGGUUGCUUAAUAUUUCUCCCAAGUAAUUUUUUUAAGUUUGCUGUAGGCAGGAAGGUAAAAAGACUGACAGUGCAGGAAACUGAACUUUUCUUUCCUCCAAAUGCCAACUGUGCCAGUUGGAUAUUGAAAUAUGAGGUACAUCAUGAUAGGAGAUUAGUCAAACUCAUUCACCAAUGUGCCCUCAGUCCCAACUUGCUAGAGGAAAUAAUGAAGUGGCGCCAUUGGAGACAAGGAGUCAUGACCAAUUUAUUGCACCAUUCUGGAUGCUGC
rnacentral:lncRNA from 1 species